rnacentral:misc_RNA from 1 species
UCUAGUAACGUUAGUGGUGACUCUCUCUGCGUUGAGUGUCGCGCGCAAAGGAAGAUCUUUCUGAAAGUUUUGUGCGCAUGGCAUUCGGCGAUUUAAAAAACGCGUUGGCUGUGAGCCCUGUCAGUGCAUUUGUUUUGCCGAUUCGCGCUUUGUUAUACUGAGUGCACGUAUACCUCCACGCUACAUAUGACGUCGAGUACGCGUUAGCGGCCUUGCCGCUGGCUGCGCGCCUCGAAAUGGGGAAGUGGUGUUUUGUUCCGAAUUGCAAGUCGCGGAACAAGAAUUGUACGGAGCGUGUGUCGCAUUUCAAGGCUCCGCGUCAACCAGAGCGCUUAGAUGAGUGGCGACGCGCAAUUCCGAGGACAGACAGAGUCUUGGAGUCUACUGAUCAUGUGUGCUCGAUGCAUUUCCCGGAAGGAGCGAUCUCUGCAACGUACCAUGCAGAGUACAAGGGGCACGUCCUGUUGCACACCCGAAAGAAACCUACGCUCUCUUCGGAUGCUGUGCCUAGCAUUUUUCCGGAUUGCCCAGAAUACCCUACCGUGCAGCAAAAAACAAAGAAACCUCGGGGAAAACGGCAAGCUCUUCUGCUGACUUCUCAAAAGCGACGGAAGCCAAGAGGCUCAACCGCUGCUGAAGUGCCUAAUCCGACCACUGAAAGUACGCCAUAUUUACUGCGGGUGGAGACAGCGGCUCCGUGGGAAGGCGAUGCUGAAUCAACAGGCACGCCACGCAAAAGGCCGCGCUUCAACUUCGGGCCUUGUCCGCGUGUAGAAGAGGAUGCUUUUGAGCAUGAUACUGGUUGUCUGAGCCCAUGUGCUACCAGCUCAGUCCAUGACCAAGCCGGAAAGGUUGCAGUUCCACCUGCCAUCACGCGACGCAGUGCUGCUACCGUCCACAAGCAGACAACGUUGUGUGAGACGGGCCUGCCUAAAUCGAUACUGGCUGAGCUACUCACUAGCGAGGUCCCCACGAGGAUGCAAACCAACGACUUGGGAGACUUUCAUGAGUCCUCCUCAGCCCCAAAACGCCAAUGGAAAGCAAAGUGCAGGUGAAUUCGAGUGGAGCCAGCCGUGCAAUGCAGGGACAAGCAAAAGUCAGUGAUUCCUGCCAAAUUAAGAUGGAAGCUGGCACACUACACAACGUAAAGAGAGAGAACACUUUCUCCGCAAACGUGUGUUUAGUGCUUAGUCCAUAUGGCUGCAACAUUUGCUCACGCAGUUUUGAGGAGGCAGACGCCUUAUUCUCACACGUCAUGACCUGCCCAUCGCCGGAGCCACUCCGGUGUGCCCUGUGUCCGGAGUUGUGUGCGGACUGGGGCACUGCGCGGAACCACGUCGUCUCUCACAUCCAGAAGCGCACACCAAAGUGUCCGAUGUGCGGCUACGCUUUCGGCAAGCAGUGGACGGUCGAGCGUCACGUUCAAAUGCGCCACCUGCCCAUUCGGCCGUUCGUGUGCAACUGCUGCGGGAACACAUUCAGCGGAAAGUCUGACGUCUACAAGCACAGCCUUCAGUGCCGUGCAAAGUCGCAAGAGAUCGAGCAGUACCUGGCAUCUCGCAAGAAGUCCGACACGCGGGUUCAUGGUCCUGUGCCCAAUACGGUGUACAAGUGCUCUGUUUGCGCACGGGCAUUUUUGGACCGUUUGGUGAUGGCGAGACAUAUGCGUGUUCACGUGAACCAAGUGCAACAGAGUCGAGCGGACGAGGUCAAGAAGGAUCCCUUCGAUUGCGGAAAUCACAAGUCAUUCGGCAUUGGACCUCCGAAAGGUCAAGAAUGGGGUGAAGGUUUAUACACAAUGCUUCAUUAGAAUACCGGUUGCUGACAAGACUACGGGCUGCAAGGUCUUCUCUAAAGCCAUACAGGCCGACUUGAAGUCUUCCGCCGUCUCCAGUUGGACACAGUGUGAUGAUGUAGGAAGACUCUGAAGAGGCUUUUUGAACUUCCACCGUGAAAUGUGUGUGCGUCUCCACAUGUUCCCGUGCGAUCGUGCAUUGGUGCUGUCAUCAAGUGAACCCUCCAAGGUCCGAUUCCUUCAUCCAACUUCCGUCCGCACUGGUUUGAAACUGGGGAACUCAAACUCCGGCAGAACAAAUUUGCAGACUCAUUCAGAGAUGGCACAUAAUGCAAGGAGAGAAUGUGAGUGUGAACCAGCCGUGAAAGAACUUGCAGAGGAGUGCUAAAUCGCAAACUGUUGCGGCCGUGUCGUGUUACUUGAAGGUCAACAUCGGGUCGCAAGGGUGCAAAUUCGCAUUUUCUAAGAAGAAAUGGUGAGUAGAUUGCAUGGGCAAAUUAACAUGCCCGUGAAAUACAGUUGAACCUCAUUUAGCACACAUUCAUAGAGCAGAUUAUUGUUUAGAGUGAACUAAACACCAAGUUUGGUUGGCCACAGUUCAUUUCGAUGACAUUUAGUGUUUGUAUAACAAAACCGAAAACACAACCACCACUGCAACAGCAGCUAUAAAGAAGAAAUAUUUGGUUUGCACUUGACUCAGAACUAGGAAGGUAGCAAAAAAAAAGUGGAAUAAUUAUUACAAAUAAUUAGCUAAAAUUUUUUAUGAAUGUGGUUGUGGCGCUAAUGCUUCAAUAAAAAAAAUUGCACCAUGUCUGGCUAAAAAAAGGAACCAUGUGUAGAUGCAAAGCAGCACGCACUAUCACUUACACUGGUGGCGGUAUUGUGCAGGAGAGAAACCUGGAGAGGCGCAAAGCACGCAGUGAUGGACCAGAGUUUUCUACCGGAACAUGCCAAUCCCUGCUAAUGAGCAAUGAGAGCAAGAAGAGGUCGAUAGGACACAGGGGCUCGCAGUCCAUUUUUAGUUAACGCGCACGGUGUGAAUUUUUAUUGUUCAACAAUGCACAGCAGAAAUCUCCCACCGGAACUACUUUGGAGGUCAAGAUUCAUUGCCUAUAUAUAUAUAUAUAUAUAAGGGGUGGCCAGUGGUCAGUUGCGCAGUACGAGCAGUCAGUUUUUUCAAUCAAGAAACUCGCUAGCAUAAGAGAGAAGGAGAGGGGACGAUCAUACACGCCUAGAUGAGAGAGAGGGGGAGCGAGCGUAAGCUACGCUGCCUGCGUCAGCGUUUCGAGGUGAGUGCAGAGGAGGAGAGAGCGGGAGGAGUGUGCAUGCUCAUUAGGGUGGUCAUGCCGCACACUGGAUUGAGCUCGACGAUAAGACAUUUCGCAUCUUGAAUGUGGACACGUCUUUUUUCAAUUGAAUGUGAAUGCAGGCCUGUUUUGUCAAAUGAAGUUUGUUCUGGAGAGACAUCACCUUACGUUUCGGUCUGUCUGGUUUUGAAAAUUUUACAGGGAUAUGAGCAAGGAUGUCGUCAUUUAUAGUGAGUUUGAAGUAUAGAAUUAUAGAUUUUUGUAUGUAGCAUUAUUGUGUGAGCUGUAUUAGCCAGUUUUUGAAAAGUUAUAUCCAUUUGUACUGAUACAAUCGAUAUCAGAUAUGAAUUGAUUUGUGGUCCCCAUACUUUUUCGAUUUAACAUGGUUCAACUCGGUACAUGCGAUUUGCCGCAACUGUAGAGUUAUUAAGAUAGGAUCUGUUACAAUCGAUAUCAGAUAUGAUGGAUUAAUUGUGGUCCUCAUACCUCUACCAUAUUAUGUUUUGUUGCUUUUUCGUAUUGUACAACCUGUAUCAACCUCUCAGUAACGUGAUGUUUAGUCUUUUUAUAAUGUUAUUUAUCUGUAGAGUGUUGAUGGUAUCUUUAUUCCUACAUAAUGUUUGUUGCUUUUUAUGUUGUAUAUACUACCUGUAUUUUUUCCUGUUCUUUUCCCCCCUACAAUAAUGCCCAGUGGGGCGCUGUAGGUAUCUGAAUAAAUAAAUAAAUAAAUAACAUGGUUCAGCUGUACAGUACAUGCGAUUUACCGCAACUGUAGAGUGGUUAAGAUAGGAAAGCAAAAACGUGGUGAUAUCAGAACUGCCACGUGCGAUUUACCGCAACUGUAGAGUGGUUAAGAUAGGAAAGCAAAAACGUGGUGAUAUCAGAACUGCCGCGUGCGAUUCGCACGUUAUUUGCUUUAGAUCACUGUCAACACAGCACUUUGUAAAUGUACUGAAAUGCAUUGCAUUCCAAAUAAACCAAGGAGUCACAACAGUAGGCUUUGAGAAGUGACUGUUUUCACCAGGGCUACUCUUUUUAAUCAGAGUUGAAGAUUCAAGCCAUAGCUGCAACCCUGCGGAGUGCGAGCACUGUACAAUUUGUGGCAAAGUCAAAAUAAACGUUGGUUAUGCCAGGCUCAGUACGGAACCACCUUG